GGGAGCGGAUCGGGCCUGGUGGUUCGGCCGGUCUUCAAAACCGCGAUGGAGGUGUCUACGACAGCUCCGGUGGGUUCGAUUCCCACACGCUCCCGCCA
rnacentral:tRNA from 1 species